UACAGAGGUCUCAAGCGUUGUUCGGAUUCAUUGGGCGUAAAGGGUGCGUAGGCGGCGCGGUAAGUCGGGUGUGAAAUCUCGGGGCUUAACUCCGAAACUGCACUCGAUACUGCUUUGCUCGAGGACUGGAGAGGAGAUUGGAAUUCACGGUGUAGCAGUGAAAUGCGUAGAUAUCGUGAGGAAGACCAGUGGCGAAGGCGGAUCUCUGGACAGUUCCUGACGCUGAGGCGCGAAGGCCAGGGGAGCAAACGGG
rnacentral:rRNA from 1 species